UACGAACCGAGCGAACGUUGUUCGGAAUCACUGGGCUUAAAGGGCGCGUAGGCGGGUGCUCAAGUCCGGGGUGAAAUCCUCCAGCUCAACUGGAGAACUGCCUCGGAUACUGGGUGCCUCGAGUGUGGUAGGGGUGUGCGGAACUAUCGGUGGAGCGGUGAAAUGCGUUGAUAUCGAUAGGAACUCCGGUGGCGAAGGCGGCACACUGGACCACAACUGACGCUGAGGCGCGAAAGCCAGGGGAGCAAACGGG
rnacentral:rRNA from 1 species